ACAGUAGUCCAGUUAGGGCUAGAUAAUGACAUGUUAACAGUAGUCCAGUUAGGGCUAGAUAAUGACAUGUUAACAGUAUUCCCGUUAGGACCUGAUAAUGACCUGUUAACAAUAGUUUCUCCUGAUGGCCAGUAGAACAGCGGGGUGUCACUGCAACGGCUCCACAGUUAUGGCCAGUUUUCCCGAACAGAAAUUAAGCCUAUUCCUGGAUGAAAAAAAAAACACUUUCAAUUAAGAUUCUCAAAUGAGAUUGGUGUUUGAUACAGGACUAGGCUUAAUCUGUGUACCAGGAUAGCGUCUCUUACAGCAUAUCUCACAGUUAGUGCUGCGUUUCAAAAGCCAGAUGAGUUUCUAAUCAAAAAGGACUACCAGAUGCACACAGCCCAGCAACAGACCAGGCUCGCCAGCUUAAAAGUGACACCAACCUACCAAAUAAACAGUGUUAUUAUUAUUAUUUAGAAAUCCAGUUCUCCGAACUAGCCAAGUGUUUAAUAAUGACAUUAUUCUGUUUUAUUAUCUAGUUUAAUAUGUUGGUGCCUCACAGACACUGAAAGACAAGAUCCUCUCUCUCUGGGGAAGUGCCUUGACAUCAGAUCCUGUUGUGACGUCAUCUCUCCACCAGGCAAUAGUGUUCACCACGUCUGCAUCGGGAAUGGUACCCUAGUGUACUAUAAAGGGAACAGGGUGCUAAUGGGCCCUGAUCUAAAGUAGUGCACUAUAUAGGGAACAUGGUGCUGGGGAGACCAGUCCUUCUAAUUUGCUGAAGGACUGCAUGAGGUUUGUGUUUAUUCAUUCUAGACGUGACCAAACAAACCGGGUAUCGAACCAGAGUCAUUUGAGUGCCUCAAGACCACAUUCGUCCACAGAGCUAAAGGCUUGAUAGGCCCCAGCUUUGGAUCUUACACUAGUCCUCAGGUUAGGUUCAUCAAUCAUCACGAUGGACGGGGGAGGAAAAACACUAGUCCUCAGGUUAGGUUCAUCUAUCAUCAUGAGUGGGGGAGGAAAAACACUAGUCCUCAGGUUAGGUUCAUCUAUCAUCAUGAGUGGGGGAGGAAAAACACUAGUCCUCAGGUUAGGUUCAUCUAUCAUCAUGAGUGGGGAAGGAAAAACACUAGUCCUCAGGUUAGGUUCAUCUAUCAUGACGAUGGACGGGGGAGGAAAAACACUAGUCCUCAGGUUAUGUUCAUCUAUCAUGGAGGGAUAAGGAAUCACAUUUCUUAAUGAAUCAGAGAAGGACAGGUUGACUCUCUUUGAUGAGCUAGACCUUUAUGAGGCAAGGAUGGAGAGGUUGACUGUGUCCCGAUUCUCUACCCUUCUUCCGAAGUGCACAGGUGCAAACGGUCAUGGAUUUCACAAUGGUGGAAACUCCCUCUAGCCUUUAAAUCCACGAUGUGGAGUGUGCAAGUGCAUCCUUGGAGGAUCGGGAUGUAUCCGUGUGCAGUCCUCGGUCUGCUAUCAUGCUUCAUGGUGGUACAGUACUUCGAAUUGUCCUACAACAGCGUCUCAACCUUCUUCUUGGGAGACCAGACAGUCCACAUCUUUGUUCCAGCCCUAUACUAACACACCUGAUUACCUCACCGCCAAACCCUUGGUCAGCUGACCUAGGUGUCAAAUAGGGCAGAGCUAGAACUAAUACUUGCAGCCUGGUGUUUCCCCAGGAGGGUUGGGAAAUCAUGUGUCCGAAUGGCACUCUCUAGCCCCUAUAUAGGGCACUAUCUUUGACCUGAGCCCUAUAGGCCCUGGUCAAAAGUAGAGCACUAUUGGGAAUAGGGUACCAUUUGGGACGAGCUGAUUAAUUGAACAUAGAUCAACUUCAAAAUGCAAAGGUUAAGGUUUGGAGAGCCACUGCUAUACAGGUUAAUUUUUUUUCUGUUCAUAAUCAACUGUGCUCUUUUGUGGUACGUUUACUAACUAGGGGAUACCUUUUAAUCAAAUGUGAAUGUUUACAGUGUAUAUGGUUGAGUUUUUUUCUGUUAUAUUCCAAGAAAAGGAUGUGGGCAUUUAAAGUCUUUAAGAUAAAAUAAAGAUAAAAUAACGCA